GUGGGGAAUAUUGGACAAUGGGCGAAAGCCUGAUCCAGCCAUGCCGCGUGUGUGAAGAAGGUCUUCGGAUUGUAAAGCACUUUAAGUUGGGAGGAAGGGCAGUAAGUUAAUACCUUGCUGUUUUGACGUUACCGACAGAAUAAGCACCGGCUAACUUCGUGCCAGCAGCCGCGGUAAUACGAAGGGUGCAAGCGUUAAUCGGAAUUACUGGGCGUAAAGCGCGCGUAGGUGGUUUUGUAAGUUGGAGGUGAAAUCCCCGGGCUCAACCUGGGAACUGCCUCCAAAACUGCAUGACUAGAGUACGGUAGAGGGUAGUGGAAUUUCCUGUGUAGCGGUGAAAUGCGUAGAUAUAGGAAGGAACACCAGUGGCGAAGGCGACUACCUGGACUGAUACUGACACUGAGGUGCGAAAGCGUGGGGAGCAAACAGGAUUAGAUACCACAGUAGUCC
rnacentral:rRNA from 1 species